rnacentral:lncRNA from 1 species
UAAUAAGUGGAGAAAGACAACUUGUCUUUAUAGCAACUCUGUAGUUGCAAUUCAAUUUAUCCAAAUUCUGAAACAUGCAUAUAUAUACAAAUCAUAUACAUAGCCUCUUAUUUAAUAUUUAAUAAACUUUCAUUUUUAAAAUGUGUAGUGACUACAAGGGCAUUGAUGAAACUAAAGCACAGUUUCCCAACCCUAAAUUUUUGGCAGCAAACAAAGAGGCCACUAAUCAAAAGCUAUAACUAAACAAUUCAAUUAAACGAUAUAAAUUCUUAUAUUUAAGUUAUACUUUUAUUAAAAAGAUAAAAUAAAACUAAUGUUAGGUAAAUUAUAAGUUGUUUUUAUAAAUUACACCGAGGAGUUUAUGAAAAAAUAAAAAAUAACUUAUAGACAUAUUAUAAUUAUUUUCUUACAUUCUCUCAAAUAAUAUCACACAUUGAUUCUAUGUAAUAAUAUAAAAUAGGCUAAAUUACAUCUGUGGUCCCUUAACUUAAUUUCAGGUAACGUUUUAGUCAUUUAUCUUUUUUUUUUCUUCCCGAUUUAGUCCUUUAUUCCUAACAAUAUUAAAUAAAGUAUGAAAAUAUGAGUUUAUUUGAAGAUUUGCGUUACGAAUUUGAUGAAAUUUGUAUUAUAUUGAAGAAUAUAAUUAAUUUUAUGAGUUUUGAUUGAAUUUUUUUUUUUGAAUUUUUGUAUAAAAAAGGAUAACAUUGUUGAAAUUUUAAAACAUAAAAUAUCAAAUUGUCACUUAAAAUUAAAAUAAAUGACCAAGUCGGGAAAAAAAAAAGAUAAAGGACUAAAAUGUUACUUGAAAUUAAGUUAAGGGACCACGAAUGUAAUUUAGCCUAUAAAAUAAGUCAAUAUAAACAAAUUUAUAUUGUGUGCAUAACUAACUUAAUUAAAAACGUAUAACAUGAUUGUUUAUCAUUUAAAUAUUUAUAUAUAAACAAUUUAUGUAAUAAAAGAUAAUAUAAAUUAAAUGUUUUUAAAUAAACAAUUUAAUAUAAGAUGUUUUCAUAUUCUAUUCUUGAUAACUUAUAAAAAUAGGCUAAAAUUAGUUUAUGAAAAAUGCAUAAGUUGUUUAUUCUCCCUCUAAUAAAACUAACAACCACUCCCAAGUUGAAGCUGAGUUAACUAAAAUGGUAUUUGAGUGUUAGUGUUAAUAUUUUCAAAAAAUAAAAUAGAGAAAAUAAUAUAAAAUUAAGUUACUUGUGGCUGGGUAGUGUCAAGCGCCGAAGAUCGGUUGAUUCGAGAUUCAAGCCAAGUGAACAAUGUUGGUGUUGCAUGAGACAAAAUAAAAAUUAGGGAGAAUGUGAGGAUUAAGGUAAGAACUUUCAUGAUUUUAUUAACCUCUUUUGUUUGCAUUAAAGAGAAGGGAUGGAGGAAUACCUAACUGAUUUUAGAUAUUGUUGAAUUUUGUAGAGUGCCCUAAUAGAUACAUGAGAUUAUCAAUAUUUUAAAAAAAUCUAUGACUCUAUAAAAAUAUUAUUUAUAUAGUCUUUUUAUAAUAUAUGGUAAACUAUAUGAGACAAAUUGUAAAUUCGAUACUAAUGUCGGACAUUAAAUUGAUUGUAAGUUGUUAACUAAAAUGGUAUUUGGGUGUUAGUGUUAAUAUUUUUAUAUUGGGAUGAUCAGUUAAACUUCAAGAAAAUUUUUCAAUACUCAAACAAAGCUUUUUCAAGUUCAAUAUAAGCAGAAAACCAAUUAUGCUAAGUCAAACACUUAAAUUACAUGAACUUAGUAUAAAAUACUAAGAUCAAGCUAAAUAUAAGCAGGAAAAUAAGUAUAAGCAGAAAAUCAAAUACAAUUCAAGCUAAAUAUGAAAAUGCUCAAUUCUAGCAGAUCAAACAAUAAAAUUACAUGAACUCAGUUCAGAUUAUAUGGCUUAUAUAAAACAAUUAAACACAUUAAGAUGUCAUUCUUCUUUUCCUGGUGGGAUUCACAUUUGUUUGUCCAUUAACGAUACAAAACGAUUGAUUAAUCCAAAUUCCCUCAUCAUGAUCAUCUCUAAGAUAUAAACCAUCAUCAAUUGAAUCAAUUUCAUGUGGUUGUGAGGGUUAUGACAACGUAUUAAAUUUGUUUUUAUUUAUUUAAAGUGAAUGAUUUUUAUUUAAAGCGCAAGCCUUUUACAACAUUUGUAUAAAAAACAUUCUAAUAGGUCAUUUAAUUAUAUGAAAGCGCAUGAAUUUUACAGCGCUUUCACAAAAAGCGCUUUAAAAGACAUGUAACAUAAGAUGAGAGCGCUACAUUUUACAGCGCUUGUGUUUAAAGCGCUCAAAAAGCGCUGUAAAAGCUAUGGGAGAGCGCUUCAAUCUACAUCACUUUUAAGUUACGGGAGAGCGCUUCAAUUUACAGCGCUUUUAAAAAAAGCGCUGUAAAAGGGUUGUAAACAUUAUGUGCAAGCGUUAUGUGACCCUACAACAACACUUGUCAAAAAAGCGUUGUUGUAUCCUUCAUUAUUUUUAAAAAAUUUUACAACAGCACUUGUAUUUAAUAAACGCCGUAAAAAAGCGCGCUAUAAUAUGUCUAUUUUUGGCAUAGUGACUCAUAUACAUAGCCUCUUAUUUAAUAUGUAAUCAAACAUGAAAUCCAUUUGAGUACAUAAAACUUUCAUGUAAAAAAUGUGUAGCAACUACACUUCAAAAGGGUAUUGAUGAAAUUGAAGCAUCAUUUUCCAACGUAAAUUUUUGCAGAAACAAAAAGGGCACUAACGAAAAACUACUAUUAAACAGAUUGUCCGUUUUGUUUAUAAUAAAUUAUAUCAAAGAGUUUAUAAAAAUAAAUUAAAAAUAUUUAUAAAAAUCAUAACUUUUUAUUUUCCACUCUCUCCAAUAAUAUCAUACGUGUUUAUCCUAUUUGAUAAUCUCAAAUAAUUUAAUAUAAACAAACUUAUGUUGCGCAGAUAACUAACUUAAAUAGAAACUUAUAAUAUAUAUAAACAUUUAUCAUUUAAGUGUUUAUAUAUAAAUAAUUUAUGUAAUAAAAAAUAAAAUUAAGUAAAAUUAUUUUAAAAUAAUCUAUUUAAUAUAAAUUAUUUUCAUAUUCUAUUCUUAAAAGGUUAUAAAAAUAAAAUAAAAUAAAAUCAGUUAAUGAAAAUACAAUAAAUUAUUUUAGAAGUUCCGCCAAAUACUCUGCAGAGAUGUUACUCUUCCACUAACUAAACUAACAACUACUCCAAAGUUGAGGUCGAGUGAAUUAAAUGAGUAUUUUUGUGUUAGGGUUAAUAUUUCAAAAAAUAUAUUAAAAUAAAGUGGCGAAUAUAUAUAAAAUUUAAUUACUUGUAGUUGAGCAUCGUCAAGCGCAGAAGAUUGCUUCAUUUGAGGUUUAAUCCGAGUUAGCAAUGUUGGUGUUGCAUGCGAUAAAACAAUUACGGAGAACGUGAGAAUUAAGGUAAGAGUUUUCAUAAUUUUGCUAACCUUUUUUCUUUUCAUCAAAGAGAAGAAGGAACACCUAAUUGAUUUUAGACAUUGUUGGGUUAUAUUAUAACGUUAUAAAGGCCAAAGACAAUAUUUAAACUAAGACACCAUGAAAUACUAACAAAACAAAAUACUUUACUUUUUUAUUUAAUUGUAAUUUUAAUCCCUCUAUUUUUACUAAUUUACGAAAUUGGUUCUCCUAUUUUUAAAUCGACAGUUUUGCACUCUUUUUAUGAUUUUUAACUAAAAAAUGAUGACGUGUGAUGUUUUAAAUAACGUGACAUAUGAUAACAUGUCUACCAUGUGUUUUUAUUGGCCAGCCAAAAUCAAUCAAGAAAUCUACAAUUAUAAAAAGGAAAAAAAAGUGCAUAUGGAUAUAUAUAUAUAUAUAUAUAUAUAUAUAUAUAUAUAUAUAUAUAUAUAUUACAAAUUAUGCAUUUUCUUAAUAACUUUAACCUUUGAAUUUUCAUAUAAAUAGAAUACAACUCAAUAAAUUUGUUAAAUUUUAUUUUGUAUAUUUAAGAUGGUUUAUCCAAUAGUUUAAUCUACUAAAUUUUUAAUUUUAUUAUGCAUAUUAUAACUAAAUUAUAUAAUUUCCGAGUUAGACUUAAAAUGGAUUCAUUGCUCAACCGUUCAAUUCCCUCUUUCAGUUUGAUUUUCAUAUAUAUUAGUAUUAUAUGUCAUGAAAAAUAACUUUCUUUAGGUAAAAAAGUAGUUAAUUGAAGAAAAACAAAUUGUACAUCUUUGUAAACCUUAAGGGAUCCAUGGAAGAACAAAAAGGUGUUUAAUAUAAUAAUUCACUAUUCUUUUGCUUUUCUGAAAGAUCAUCUAUUAUUUGUUGAUUUGGCCCUUUCAUUCAAACUUAUUUCGGUAAGGGGAACACACACAUUACAAUAAUUUAUAUUUUAAUAUGAUUGAUUUAUAUAUUCAAAAGCAAAUUUAACAUAAAUUUUAGGAUUAAUUGCAAUUUCAGUUAUUUUAUUUUUAUAAUUCAUAUAAUUGACACUCUUAUUUUAAAAAAUUUAAUAGUUUUUAUCCUUCUUCUAUAUAUUUGAAUUAAAAAAAAUGAAGAUAUGAUAUAUUUUAAAUAAUGUAUUAUAUAAUCUCAUGAUGUAAAAACAUCGAAAUAUAUUAAUUAUUCAUAUGUUAUUAAUUAAACUAAAUCGUUUACCUGAUGCAAUGGUAUAAUAAUAUAAGAUUAAUAUUAUUUUAUUUUAAGGAAUAAAUGUUUUUUGGAAAUAAAAUUUAAUAAUUAGUUAAAAUAAUUUUUUAAUAUUAAAUUUUAAAAUAUGUGAAAAAUACUACGUCAAAAAAUUAACACUUUUAUUUCAUAUAUGCAGUGAGAUAUGCAUGAUCAACGUAAUAUAAAUUGUUAUAAAUUUUAAAAGCUUAAGUUCGUGUUUUUCUAAUUUUUGUCCCUGUAAAUUUUAUUUUUCAAUUUAAAAUAUGUAAAUUCAAUUUAGUUUUAAAAUUAUCAUCGUUGUUAGUUGUUGUUAAAAAAAAAAUUUAUGUAGCAAAUGGAGGUGUGGCGUGGUAGUAUCUGACACGACAAUAUUUGAUGAGGAUAAAAUCAUAAAUUCCUGAAUUUAAAUAACCUAAAAUUUGAAAUCCCUUUUUUCCUUCUUCUCUGUGGUGCAACCUAAAAUUCCAACUAUGCUUCUUCUUGGUUCCACUAUGGCGUCAUUUUUGUCUGCAACAAAUACAACUAAUUUCAAUUGUCUGAGUGUGGGUGUAGGAAAGCAAUGCGUAUAUAAUACAUCUCUAACACAAAUGAAAAUCCUAAAUGACGAUUUUGGAGAUGUCCUCGUUGGAAUGUGAAUAAUUUUUCUUAAAUAUGCGAUUUUUAUGUUUAUACUUUGUAAUUAUAGUUUACAUUUAAUAAAUCCCUUAAUCUAGUUUACAUUUCCUAAUCUCUAAAUCUAGUUUCUGAUUUUGGAUAGAAGGACUAAAAUAUAAUAUUUUUAACUUAAUUUAUUAUAUUUUUUAAUCAAUUUAAUUACUUAAUUGUAUUUUUUAAUAAUUUAAUUUUUUUCAUUCAAUUAUUAAUUAUUUAAUUAAUAAUAAUCAUCCAUGAAACAACAGCAUCACUCUUUUGUUUGUCACAGAAACUUUUUUUUUUAACAACAAUUAGCAAUAGAGAUAAUUUUAAAAUUAAAUUGAACUAACAUGGUUUAAAUUUAAAACAAAAUUAUAUAGACAAAUAUCAGAAAGACACGAACUUGCAUCCACGUUGUAGUUGAAGUUGAAUUUAAUGGCCAUAUACCAAGAGUUAUGCCAAUUGAAGGUAUGGUAACAAGCAUUAGAUUAAAUCCAUUUGAAAAAUAGUACUUUAGUUCUUAAAUUAAAAAAUAUCCAUCAAUUUAAUCAUUUUUUCAAAUGUUAGACUACAAUUUUAAUACAUUUAUGCUUGCUUGAUGUAGUAAAAGACUAUUGAAGUUAGUAUGUAUAACUUUUAUUAGUUUUGAUAUUCUUUUUUUUUUUUCAUCAAGAGUUUUUAUAUUCUUUAAUUUAGAUGACUAAUUUUCUAUUUUGAAAAUUUAUGGAUUAAAGUGACUGACAUCUAAACUAUUAAGGACUAAAAAUGAAUGUUUACUCCAUAAUUUAUUAAUGUUUCACCAAAGCUUGUGUUAUUUUUUAAUUUAAAAAUAUUUUAAAUUAAAAUCAAUUUAUGCCACUAAAAAUAUUACUGAAUUGAGUCACGCAUUGAAUCGUUCUCUUUAAGACGUUUUGCGACACUGUCUAAAUUGUGCAAGACAGACUACAAAACACAAAAUCUCCAAGAUAAAACAGUUCAUAUACAUUGUAUCAGAGUUCUACUGCACCAUAGAAAACUGUUUUAGAAUUACACCAUCAAUAUGACAAUCAGAUGGCUGCCACUCGUAAUAUGAUAUUGUGACCACUCGAAAGAAAGAGAAGAAGUGAGAAAGAAAGGGGGAGAUUCAGAGAAAAGUCCCAUAUGCAGAGGGCUUUUUGUGUGCUUGUCCAACUAAGGAGAACCCUCUAUUUAUAGAGGAAGUCUGCAACUGAAUCAGAGAAAAACAAGUGACCCAUCAGUCCCGAUUCACAAAACGUGCGCUCCAAUCUUCCCAAGGUUUUUUACCACAGAAACAUGCGCUCCAAACUUAACUACGUUUUUAACCGAGCAAUAAUCAGAUGCGUGAGUCCAAAGACUAUGGUUUGAUCGGGCAAUAAACAGAUGCACGAAUUCAGGAAGAAAGAUUGGAUCAGAUGUUGAAUGUUGACUCGAUGAAGAGAAAUUACAUAAUUAACAUAUGAGAGAUAAAAAUGCAAACAUUCAUUUAAUAUUGAAUAAAUAAAUAAUUUAUUAAUUUUUCAUAUACAAAAAAAAUAGGCACAAUUGCUCCUACGGUCCCUUAACUUAAUUUCAGAUAACACUUCAAUUAUUUAUCUUUUUUUUUCCCCGAUUUGGUUCUUUAUUUAAUUUUAUUACAAAAAUUGGAAAAUAUGAAUUUAUUUGAAGAUAUAAGUUAUACAUUUGAUGAAAUUUGCAUUAUAUUGAAGAUGCUAAUUAAUUUUAUGAGUAAUUUGUUUGAAAAUUUUGAUGAAAUUUUAUAAAAAAGAUAAGGAUAACAUUGUUAACAUUUUAAAAUAUAAAAGAUCAAAUUGUUUUCUUAAAAUUAAAUAAAUGAUCAAAUCGAAAAAAAGAAAGAAAAAAAGAUAAAGGAACAAUUAUACCCUAAAAAAUAAUACAUCACUUAGCUCGGGCCAAGCUCGGUUGACUGGACGGCAGCGGAACACCUCAAGUUCCAUACUUUCACCUUAUAAGCACUACUAGUAUGUGUUAUCCUUCUUAUGUGGAACUUCUUUAUUUUUCAAUUCACACCAACACCUACUUUCAUUAAUGUCAUGAUUAUUUCCGACAACCAUCUAUUAAUAUUACAACAUUUCUAACAGUUUGUUAUAUUAAAUAUUUUCUAGUUCUAAUCAAUUUAAAUUUGCGCGCAUUAAUUGUGUACGAGACUAAUGUAACUUUAUUUUAUUGGGCUUCUACUAUAUAUUUGUAAAUUGACAUAUUUUUAUCCUAUCAAAUUAAUUGAUCAAUAGUUGAAUGAUAUAGCUUCACCAAUCGACAAUAAUGAUUUAGUUAACCUUUAAUAUACAAUAUAUGAAUAUUGAGGUAGAUGAGUUAGUGAUAAACUAACUCAAUUAUCGGAUAAAAUUUUGAUAAUACCAAUAUUAUAUACUCUUUUUCUUCUUCAUAGUACACUAUAAGUUGUCUUAUUUUAUUAAAAAAGCGGAAACCCUACAUCUAUCAAUGUUGAUAUUGGUUUUUAAUAGAAAUCUCUCAAAAAAAACGUCAACAAAUAAAUAUUUAGUACGAAGUUUUGUCAAGUUAAAAAAUAAUCUUUAAUACAUAUGUAAAUAUUUCAAAGAUGGAAUAAGUUUGACAUCCAAAUUUGAUAUCAUUUUCAUAAAGAAACUAUUAUGUCAAAACAUAAAACAGUUAUUUAGAGUGUAACUAGAUAGCCUCCAUACAAUAGAGUAAGCUUAUCUUUAUUAGCAAAGGUUGAGACCAUAGCCAACAUCACCAUCAGGAAUUUUAUAACGACCACCAAAGUUAAAUAUGGUGCUAGGGUAGUUCUUAUGGUCAUCUAUGAUGAUAUAGUCUACCAUCCAACCAUCUGAACCUUUCCUAAAUAUAUUCAAUUUGCAGAUUUUGUCCAAACAACCUCCUUCAAACCGUAUAAUUGUUGUCAUGCACUGGUCGAACGAUGUAGAAUCAGUAUCAGGACCAUUCAUUUUCGGAGAAAAU